UCCUUUAAGUGAGGCUAUGGAGGGAUUCUUGCAGCAUAACAGGCGCCUUCAGGUUGUGGAAAUAUAAAGCUAUGCACUCCUAUAUAUAGCAAUUGGCAAGGUAGAAGCAUGAACAAAGCAUGUGCGUGGAUGAAGAGGGCCUAAAUGCAUGGGCCUGUACAGGCGCAUGGAGGGCCCAAUUCCAAUUGUAAAUGAAUGCUUAACAUCAACAAAUAUGUUUUGGACGUGCAGAUGAUGUGUACUGAGCUCAUGCAAUGUGUUUGAAUCAAG
rnacentral:lncRNA from 1 species